UUUUCAUGGUAAACUACUAAUUUACUGAAAUGCAAUGAGGUAGACAUUUUUGUUUCACAACUUAAAAUACAAACAACUUUUAAGAGUUUAACAAAGUGAGGCUGGAGAGACGCAACUCAGCAGUUAAGAACACUGGCUGUUCUUUCAGAGGACCGGGGUUCAAUUCCCAAUACCCAAAUAGCAGCUCACAACUGUCUGUAACUCCAUUUCCAGAGGAUCUGACACCCUUAUAGAAAGACAAAACACCAAUGCACAUAAAGGUAGAUAAAUCUUUUUUUAAAAGUGACAAAAUACAGAAAAAAAGGUUGUGUGUUAUUAUUAUCCAGAGUUCAAAGUUCAACAAGCUUCAGAUCAGUGCUUGGGAAAGAACUAACGAGAGCUGCACAAACCCAUGCACAGCAGAUCUCUAACCCUGGCAAGCACACAGAGGUCACAGAAAACAAACAGAAAAACAUACUGUGCUUUUUAGAGAGAAAAAGUCAUCAAGCAUGGCCUUUCUCCAACAUUUGAUUAACACAUUCGAUGCAACCAUUCGGCCAAUGCCAGCAUCUUUUCAGAGAAGAAAAGAGGUUAUCACAAGGCUUAUGUGGAAACAGUUAGUCCGCACACUGGAACCCACGUUAAAACUUAGAAUGCAGAGAUCUUAACUGCUAGCAGGGGGAAAAGUGCUAAACAUCAUGUGGACAAAGACACGGACAAGCUCUGCUGUCCAACAACACACUAACACACGUGGACAAACCAGUAAGAAAGUCCUAGGCCAGUCCAAAACUGCAGCUUAAGCUGCAUGAGACAGAGCUCUGAUGCACAAAACUUCUUAAAGGCUUCUCUACAGAGGUAAUUCAUUUCUUUUAACUCAUAAACAUAAUGGCAACUGCUCGUAGCAAAGCAAGGAGGUAAACUAAUACAGGACGAACAUAAUGAAAACUAAGCUCUGAACAAUUUGGUCAAGGGCCAUGAACUUUAGAAACUUUACCCUGUUACCUUUCUAAAAUAUGAAUCCUUAGGUGAGACGGUAGCCUGAACUACCUUAGCUUUUUUUUUUUUUUUUUUUCCUUGUAACUACUAGAAGUAUGAGGCAGAGAGUGAGCAAGCUGAAACACAGCCAUCAAUCAAGGGCCACUUCUGACCUCCCAUACUGUCUUCCAUCAGGGCACUCUGAUAGCACACACUCCCAGUCACAAGUCUGUCAGAGAGCAGCCACUUCACACAUCGCCAACAAAGCGUCAUCUCAAUAGGCAAAGCAACACAGCGAGCAAACGGCCAGAGAUGGGCCUGGCGUGUGGGCUCACAUAUGCUUGGAGCUUUGCAAGGCAGCUCCUAGGGCUGAGCUUAGCCCCUAUCCAAAGACAAAGAAUGAACACCCAAUCAAGCCACCUACUGGGCAACAAGAAACAAAAUCCGUGGAUACUGGAUAUCAUCAGUACCAUAAGUAACUGUAUUAUAUAAGCUUUUCUUUCUCAAACACUAAUUUUUAUAGACCUUAUUGAAAUUUAGUAACUGAAAAAGAACACAAAUUAGUAAGGCAACCCAUCUGAGGCCCUCUGUGAAUGCUUUCCACAUGCCUGCUGGAGUAGACAUUAGGUCAAAAGGUAAGUGUUCAAGUUAUGAGGCCACUGCUAGGUCACAUGACCCAGAGUGUCAAAAGGAUAAUCCAAAAAUCAACAAAUUUGAUUCUGUCACAAAGCUGUGUCAUGGCAGGAUUCAGCUGAAGUCAUCCUAUUUGAAUCUGGCACUCUCUACUGUUAUGUCACAAUGUCAACCCAAAAUGCUACCUAGGCAACAGAUAACUCAAACACAGCAUCAGCUCAGGAUGCUGGCCUCAGUAGCGGCAGUGCGAGGAGGCAUGGAUGAAGGAAGGCACCGUGAGGUUUACCACAAAGGUAACAAUGAGGGAGAUGAGCCACGGCUCAGAGCAGGCCAGAGCAGUAACACCGGCUCAGCACACACUUCCCAACACAGCCCAGACUGAGGAGGAACUUCUUUUGGGAAAGGAAAAGCUAAGGUGCCACAAUUUACAAAGCAAAGCCCAAAGAGGAAUUCUGUUUUCCUUUUGAUUCAUGGUGACUAAAGGACAAAGCUCUCCUUCUCUUUUACAGCCCAACUCUAGCACCAGCUUGAAAGAAAAAUAUAGACAUCAGCUUCAUCACAAGUGAAUGGGAUGGCAGAGCCCAGUCAAUGGCCGCACACAGCAUGAAUCCAUGUAACGGAGUCCUUUGAUCUCUGACAGAAUGGUGCUAAGAGACAACACUAUGAGCCUUUUCUUUUUCCUUUUCUUGUCCUCUGGUUUUCUCCAUUAUACUCACUCGACUCCCUUUCAUGUGCCCAUGAACUGUUUUAUUUGUGUCCCCUUCAAAAUUAAAUUUUAUCUACAGUAGCAGUGCUGGCUUACAUGUGUGAAAGAAGAAAGUGACCUUCCCUGGAGGCGAGCUACAAAGAGAGAAGUUGACAGAAAACACUGAAUCUCAAUCCUCUAUCGUCACGUCUCACUCAUCAACAGUUUAAGGAAAGGACCCUAAUUCUGGAGAAGAAAAAAAUGAGUAAAUGAAUACUAACAGGGUUCUGCCACUACACCCUGUUUGAUGGGAGACAACCACAGAAACACCCCAAAACUCUCCUCGGUGAGAUGCUACUGCUGAGUGAGGCUGGAGCCACACACCGGGCAUCAGACACUGACAAAUGCCAGGCUUUCAAAAAGAUUUACCAAGCCAGGCCAUGCAGUGACAAAAUGAGCACUUGUCAUCCAGUCACCAGGUCACCAAGAAACUCACUCUUCAUUUAAGUCUAAUAAAGAGAAACUGGAGAAGUUUCCUCAAUGAGAGGCUGCACCUCUCUGUGGUUAACCAGAACCACAUGUCAGCCUGAAAACAUACACAAGGAACCUUUGUAACAGAGCAGGUUGUGCUUACAUAUUUAGGAAUAUAUAACGUGCAUCUUUAUGUAACAAUGAUUAAUGCAAAAAGGGGCUAUGAACUUGAAAAAAGAGAAAGGAUAAAAAUGCCAUAUGAGAGGGCUUGGAGGAAGGAAAGGGACGUGAGAUGAUAAUACUACAGUCUCAAAAAACAAAUCAUUUAAGAAGAAAAUGGAGAUGAAGAUUUCAUACCAGACUUACUGCUUUUUGUACAUUUUUUUUAUAAUUCUAUCUUUUUUAAAGGAUGCUUAUUUAAUGUAUAUGAGUUCCCUAUAGCUGUCUUCAGACACACCAGAAGAGGGCAUCGGAUCUCUUUACAGAUGGUUGUGAGCCACCAUGUGGUUGCUGGGAUUUGAACUCAGGACCUCUGGAAGAGCAACCAGUGCUCUCAACUACUGAACCAUCUCUCCAGCCUUCUGUUCAACAUUUAAGAUACUAUCACAAAACAUAACAUCCAGGAAAGAUUCUAAUCAGAUACCUUGGAAAAAAAACAAAACCUUAUGUAUUGCUAGUGGGGAAGCCAUAGUGCUACCAGGAUGCAAACCUAGAGUGAGCCACAUUUAUCUGUGCGCAGCUACUACACAGACCUAAGAAUGCUAAAAAUCAGAUGAACGUCAUCUAUCAAAUCUGAAUAGCGUUAAAAAUCCCCAAAUAUAUUCAUUUUAAACAGUUAUGUCAAAGCAUGUUGGACAAUUUAACUAGAACUUGAAGUCCUUUAAAUCCAUGACCUCAACCAGUGAGAAGCUGAAAGGAGCAGAAGGAUCGUCAGGACAGACACUAACAUGGCCGGCGGCCUACAGUAACAUUCGUUUCACAACCCAUUAACUUGCUUUGCUAGCAGAUAGGCUUAAUUAAAGUCUGAGAACCCACCUUCAAGGACAGACAAAAGCUUUUGGGAAUUUGGGGAAAGUUUAUAAACUACCACAGACAUUCUUGAAAUGUAGCGAAAGCCCAGAGACAGUCAACUCUUAACACUUCCACCCCUUCCUGUGGCAGAGCUCAGCAUACCACAGACCAGAAAGCCACACGGCCCCACUAGUUGUUUUUACAGAGUACAAGACAAUUUUACAUCUUUAAAUAGUUUUUAAAAAAAGUGGGAAAAAAUUCCUGAGAAAAGAAAUGAAAAUAAAACAAUUCCUUUCCAUUUUUGUAAAGGCUCAAGUGGAUCUCAGCCAACUCAUUCAUUCGUUAUCUAUGCAUUUGCCCCACAAUGGCCACCAUGAAUGGACAGUUGGGACAAAGGCCACAAUGCCAUAUAAUCUGAGACCCAAUGGUUACAAACACCAGUCUUAAGUAAAUACUCCAGCCUUCUGCCUAAAGUAACUGGAUCUUUCUUUGUAGUUUUGCACAGGAGACCGCAGGACUGUCACUGAACAUGUGAAGGGUGAGCACCACGUUAGGGACAGCCACAUCUCACUGGUUUAAACAACAGAAAACAAAAACAAAGCCAGAAUGGUCACGUGAAACCUGGCCCAAGCACUGCAGAAUAAAGGACACGAUUCACUAGAAAGCACAGGAAAGAUGGUCACCAUAAACUGCCAAUGUCACUGCCCAUGUAUGUGUGACUCUGGUCACUUUCUUAGAUUGAGUUUCUCUUUUGUCCUGGAAAAUGAGAAUAACUUAAAGACCUUAUAAGACUGUGGAGAGCACUGAAGUGAGGUGAGUGUCUAAGGAAAAGCCCCAUCCAUUCAUCAUCUGUCAGGAGCUUGUGGGAGAUGCUUGAGCCAUUCUGCCUCCAGAUCUGUGCUACGCCUGACAACCUGAACUCAGCAGGACGACUCUGGAUCCAAUGACUGGAAACUGUACUUUUUUUUUUUUUUUUUGGCUGAACCUAGCCAGAGAUACUGGGAACCGUUAGUUAGUUAGUUAGUUAGUCAGUCAGUCAGUCAGUCAGUCAGACGUGCUAUUUCUACAGUACUAGUUACCAACUGAGCCGCACAUGCCCAGUGAUUCCAUAGAACAAGCAAAACAAGACGAAACUCUGGCUUAUUUAUAAGUAGCAACUCUCUCAAAACGCUGCUGGAGCUCCUGAUGCAGUCUUGCCCAUUGACCAGGGGGCGGCAGUAUUGCGUCAAAAACAUGAAUACUUAAGAUAAGACUUCCACAGAUACAGAACAAUGAAGGUAGAGUCAAAUGAAGAAAACAAAACAAAACAAAACUGUAAACAUGUGUGCACCUGAAAUGGCACCAUUUGUCUAGAGCAGUGUGACGGAGCUGAGUAAGGUUACGUCUCAGUGAUGUGGUGAGAGUGACAGUGGUGAAGGAACGCAGGCAGGGGCUACUUCAGAGUUCUGAGCUACACUGGAAGACAAGACUGCAGUUUGUCUGUACCCACGAGUGACUGAGCAGCCUCACUACACCUUUAAAAAGUGAACAGAGGGAAGGCCAGUGGGUUUCUAGGUCACUUCAUGUGUUUAUAACUCUGUCUCCCACAGACUAGGGCCAGGACAAAAUGGAACUAUGGUGUUUACUUAGUGUUAAUAUCCUAAGGGUUACAAUGUCCUCUGGAGGACACUGCUGUAGCAGGAGCUCUCAGGGCAAAGGCCACACCACACUGGGAGUUGCUGAAGGCCUCCUCUGAUUCCUACUCCUUUUAACAACUUGCACUGAAAAUUAAAAUCAAAAAGUAAACCCAGGGUCACGUGGCUUACCAUCAGCUCCUUGGCUCUGAACCCUGGUUUUCUAAAUCCCUAAGCUCUGACUCUGCAAACAACAUGCAGCCUCAGCUUUCUGUGUCCCUCGCUCUCCAGGCUGUGGAGACUGGGACGUUCGUAAGGAAGCCGAGUAGCAGCUACCUCUCAGUAAACCUUGACCAUUGCCACUGUCCUGCCCUGCCCUGCAGAGGAAGAGAACUGCCCCACAGGCUUUGCUUUUCUCAGACUCAAUGCUCUGCAACUGUGGGCUUCAUCGCUUUAAGAAUUUCAGGAGCAGAUCAAGUGUUUCUAACAGUGUUUCACUAUUUACAAUUGACACACUUGAACACUAGCAUAAAUCUCACAGAAAUUUAUCGCCUUCACUCAACACUGAACCAAGAAGAGACUUCCAGGACGAAGGCACCCUGGGCAGUAUUUCUGAAGGAAAAAAGAAGCAGCAGGAAGUAAAGGCUUUCCCACUCACCACCUUAGUUAGAUUCACACAAAAAUGAAGGUCAAGAAGUCAGACAAGGCAGAGCUGAAUAACCCACCAAAGGUGUGUGGCCAUUUGCUAGGGGAGCUCUCGCAACAGUGGCUGGGCUGGGGAGGAGGGUGCGCUGCGCCCCGAGGCUCCCAUUAGGAUUUACUGUUCUUCAACCCCAUGUCGUCCUGUUCCCACUCCCAAGUCCUGGGCCUACAGGUGCAUGGCAUGGUACUUGGCUGCGCUGUCCUUAAGAUCUAUGUAGAGAGAGACUUGAAAUGUGAGUCAAACACAACAAAUUAAGGCCAUUUGCCACCUCCCACAGCAUCCUUGCUGUCAUGGGAAUAGUGGGUAACUUGAGUGAAUAAAAGACAGAUACAACGUGCUGCUUCUGUGAGUGUCUGCACAAGUACCUCUGGAGGCCAGUGAGUGGCGUGGGCUGAGGAGGACAGACCCCACCUUCUUAAGGGCAUCAGCCUAGGGUCUGUACAAACUGAGUGCAAAGCAUAGGCAUCAUCCCAUCAGCCUAGGGUACAAACUGAGAGCAAAGCAUAGGCAGAUUCCGGAGCUGCAAGGGUGUGGAGCUCAGGUCUGCAGCAUUAGUUUCUCCGACUCUAACGUCCCCACACCCACUGGGUCAUGCUUCCCCAGGUCUCCAGUGUGCAGGUGACUUGAGGUUAAGCCUCAUUACGUCCACAGUGAUGCAAGCCAUCCCUAGCACACCGCCCUAUCCCCUUCUCUCAUUGGUUCUGUCUCUCUGGAAGACACUAACCCACUAAAAAUUAAACACAGGCUUUGAAAAAAUCCAAAUUUUGGUUCUAAGGCAAAGGUAACUAAAAAUUAACGAAUUCUUAUCUAAGUGUAUUUUUACUCCAGGAGUUAUGGUCACACCAGAUAAACAGAAUCACAAAUGGUCUGCUUGAUCCAAAGGAUAUUUCUCAUUACGGGGAGAGAAAAUAUUUACUCACAAUCAGCUCAGUAAGAAAUUACCUUGUUCCCCUAAAGUUUUGACUAUUUUAAGAACUUCUCUUAUCAAAACUCAAGCCUCAGCAACCCUAAAUUUGCCAUCUUAUUAAUAAAAGUUGCUGUUAUGACAGCAAUGGUGCUGCCCACGUGGGGGAACAGAGAGGGAAGUCACGGGGUCCUUAACAUCAGCUACAGGGCACAAAACAGAGGCCCAGAGCUGGUGCCGAGUCCGAACGUGCCCUUCCUAGUUGGUGGCUGUCUAGGAAGGGCUAGUAGGCGUGGCCGUGUUGAAGGUGUGUCACUGGGGCUGGGCCGAGCCUUGGCCUCCCCCUAAUAGAGUAGCUAGCUUUCCGAUGACAGCACUCUCUCAGCUACUGCCCAGUACCAUGCCUGCUGCCAUCAUGGGCUAACCUCUGAACUGUGAGCAAGCCUCCAAGGAAAUGUUUUCCUGCAUAAACUAGUCAUGGUGUCUCUUCACAGCAAGAGAACAGUGAAGACACCUUCACAAGGGCAUCGAAAUACGAGAAGGUAUGCACAGAGUCUAACAUCUCAUGAUCACAGUGACCAACUCAUGGUUAAAGAUGUAGCUCAGAGACUGUUCCUAAAUUUGAUAGCAAAAUAUUCUGAAGAUUUGUAUUGGUCAACAUAGUUUUAUAUCCUCAAACUACUUAACCCCAGGGGCUCAGUCUUUCCCUCUGGCACAGGGUCUCUGGCUGGCCUAGAACUCACUAUGUAGACCAGGCAUGCUGGCCUCAAACUCACAGAGAUCCACCUCUCUGCCUCCUGAAUGCUGAAAUUAAAAGUGCCACCAUACCUAGGCAUUGAUUAAAUUCUUAAAAAUUACUGAAGUUGCCCUCCCACGCCCCAACCAAGCAACCAACCAACCUUCUUUCCUUCCUUCUUUCCUUCCUUCCUGUUUGCCUCUGUCCCUCCCUCCCUCCCUCCUUCCCUUCCUUUCACUAUGUGUUAGUGUUUUGCCUGCAUAUAUAUCUGUGUGAGGGUGUCAGAUUCUGGAGUUUCAGAGUCGUGAGCUGUCACGUUGGUGCUGGGAUUUGAACCUGGGUACUCUGGAAGAACAGUCAGGGCUCUCUCUAGCCCCCAGAAUUACUUUAAAUUAAUACAGGCCAUGAGAAUCAGAUGCCUGUGUGACUGGACUGACAGGUAGAUGUGAGUCACCUGGUAUGGUGCUGAGAACUGAAUUUAGACCUGGGAGGCCAGUGUGUGCUUUACUACUGAGUAUCUUGCCAGUUCUAGUUUUGCUUAGAGACAGGUUCUCACUGUGUAACUUUGGCUGUCCCAAAACUCCCUGGCCUUAAACUCACAGGGAGCCAUUUAGCUCUGCCUCCUGAACCCUGAGCUUAAAGCGGUAUGCUGCCAUGUCCAACAAGACUUUAUUUUCUUUCAACAAACCAAACUGAGAAAAUGAACAGUACUUUUCAUUUCACUUUCUUCUGUAGCUGGAGCUUUUGGACCCCUGGCCUCAAUUUCUCUGACUCUGACUGUCCUAAACCGUAUUCUUGUUCCUGCUUCUGUUACCGCCCUCAUCGUCCGUGAUGCACUUGUGAAGAAUGAGCAUGGAAAGGCACUAGAGUCUUGGUCUCAUUAGGAGAUGACGUGAUCGCAGGCCUGGGAGUAAACUCAACCGCUCUCAUGAUGAAGAGGGGUAGCUGUCUAAUGAUCACGGCCAGAUUCUGAUGUGCAAACAUCAGCACUGCCCAGUUCCAGGAGAUAGCUGAGCUGAGCUUCCCCGUCUACUGCUUUCCAAUUCUGCUUCAAGAUGGCAGACCUGGUUAACACCGUAAAAUAAGUUUCAGGGAACAAACUCUUACAGUUAAGACCUUUGGGUUAGAAGUCACUGUUUAAGCUGAAGUUUGCUCACAUAAUAACAGAAACCUAAUUACAGCUGACGCUCCUAACUGGCCAUAAGUAAUUUAAAUAGCCGGCUAAGAAAAGAGAAAAUCAGUAGAAACACUGAAAGAUUACAUUUCCCAUUUUAUGUAAAUUAGUUUUUCCUGUUUUAGAUGUCUUAAUUAUUUUUCUUGUUCCCAUUUACUCAAACCAAAACAAAGACUGUAGCCUCUAAUACUUGUUGGUCUAUUUAUAACUUUUCCUCCCACUCGUUUUCUAACACGAGCAUGCCCCGAAGGCUUCUAUCAGUCCACAUGCUGGGCAGCAACCCUGGCUGCUACAGAGGAGAAACGGAAGCAGGAAAUGAAGAAGCUUGGCUAACCUGGGUAACCCAUCAAUGUAUAUUCUGUCAAGUGUAUUCUGUCAAGUGUAAGCAGAGCUGGGAAAAUGCUUUAAAAAAAAAAGUGUGGGGUGGGUGGUGAUGGUGAUAGAGAAAGCCAAGAACUAUGCACAUUUUAAAAUGGGGGUCUUGGGGAAGGGGAUUGAGAUAGGGGGUUUCCAGAGGGGAAACCCGGAAAGGGGAUAACAUUUGAAAUAUAAAUAAAGAAAAUAUCUGGGGUUGGGGAUUUAGCUCAGUGGUAGAGCGCUUGCCUAGCAAGCGCAAGGCCCUGGGUUCGGUCCCCAGCUCCGAAAAAAGGAAAAGAAAAAAAAAAAAAAAAAAGAAAGAAAGAAAACAUCCAAUAAAAGAAAAAGAUAUAAAAUGGGGAUCCUUGACAAAAUAACUUCUCCAUCAUGUUCUAGCACUAAAGUUUUAGAAAGAUUUUUUUCUCUGAAAUUAUUAUCUUCAUUUUUGAAAAACCAGUUUAGGGUUAUUCUUUAACUAUUGAGACAUAAUUUACAUAAAACAAAAUUAUUUGUAAUGCUGAGUAACUUUGAGUUAUGCACCAAAUUAGUGUUAUCAGUCCAGACACAGGAUGGGGACCCACAUCCAUCACCACAAAAAGGCAACUCAUAGAGCCACAUGGCUGUCCUGAGGCAGCUGGCUCUCGAGAUUACUACAGUCAUGUCCUGACCUCAGUUCUUUGCUCUCUCACACUCUCCCGUUUAUACGAACAAAUCACUCCAUGGAGUUGCUGUGCAUCUAUCUACUGCCAUCGGGAAGGAGUACAGACAAACCAAAACUCCAGGUAAAGAUGUAAUACAUUGGUCUCUAGAAACUUCCAGAGGAGAUCACUUAUGGCAGUAGUGAAAACAACUGGUAAAAAUAGGUGCUGAUUCAUUUUAAGGCAUCCUUCUGUCAAACCAUAGAGUCAGUAUUUAAUGAGCACCUGCUAGGAACUGAGCUGUCUAGAAAAGGUCAGUGUGAACAGUUGGGGAGGAGAUCUACAGAGCCUGCAAAGCUUGCAUUCCACAAGCAGCAGGCCCACUCCUGGGCCCGGAUUCAGAUUAACCACUAAGUCAGAAGCAAUGAGACCUGCCAUUUAAUAGCCACAGAACACUAGGCAAAUAACACUUAUUUACACUGCUGUUUAAUUUCUUUGGAUAUUAUAUUCCUUAAAAUUAGUAGUCUUGGGCUGGAGAGAUGGCUCGGUGGUUAAGAACACCGACUACUCUUCCAGAGGUCUUGAGUUCAAAUCCCAUCAACCACAUGGUGGCUCACAACCAUCUGUAAUGGGAUCUGAUGCCCUCUUCUGGUGUGUCUGGAGACAGCUACAGUGUCCUCAUAUAAAUAAACCUUUAAAACAAAACAAAUUAGUAGUCCUCUCAAAAAUUCUUGAGGAUGGAAAGAGAAAGUUAUAAAGAUAGCUUUGGUUGCUUCCAAAGUGGAGAAAGGAAGUAAGUAGCCCUAAUGAAUCCUAUGGCCAAGCAUUUAAACCUGAUGCCUUGGCCCUGUGCAGCCUAGAACAAUCAUCAAUGAAUUAAAAUAUGAGAUUGUUUCCUUUUCAUUUGUUUUGAAACUCAACUGCAUAGGUUUCAAGCAAGAACUUUGUAGAUGGCAGUAUCAUAGCCAACUGUCAAAGGGCUGGAUAUACUUGUCACAUGAAGCUCUACCUGUAAGAAGACCAGAGAACCCCAAAUGUCGCUGUCUUGCCUUGUUAGCUCAGCUUAGGCUCAGCUUGUUCAAGAAACCUCUCAAAGGUUCCAAGUGUCCGUGAAACUAUGACCUGACACAGUCACUGCGGUAAGUAUCCCAUAGGAACAUGAAAAGAACGUAUGUGCAUUUGUGCAGCUGUUAGAAAUAUGGCAUACGGGAGGGGGGAGGGGAUACCUCUGUGAGUUUGAGGCCAGCCUGGUCUACAAAGUGAAUUCCAGGACAGCUAUGGCUCUGUUACCCAAAGAAAGCCUGUCUCAAAAAACAAAACAAAAUGGGAAGGAAGAAAGAAAAAAAUGACACUUUGAAAAUGACAAGUAGUCAAUUAAUCUACUGUUCAAUACUCUGUAACUGCCAACAGCCUAUAUGCUCACUAAUGUGCUACUUUGAAUGCCCACUACUACAGGAAAUACGCUAAAAUCUUUGCAAUUGUCUAAAUAGUCAUCAACAGUAGAACUGGGACAGAUUGCAAUAUAGCCUUGUAAUGAGAUACUGUACAGAAAGGAAGAAAAUCAACAAGCGGUGUGGAUGAGCUUCCCACAGACACACAAGCAAGCACACAGGUCUCCUGGUAAGUGCUGUCCCACGAGAGCAGUGCUAGUCUGCCAAGUACCAAGAGUAGUGGGCCCCAGGGAAGCGUGAGCCACCAAAGACAAGACAAGACCAUGCGGAAAGACAAAGUGAGGUUGAGGGGGAGGGGAAGAUAGACAAACACUGAUAUUAAAACCCAUUCUGAAAACAGUCACACAUAAAAAAGGGUAGAUAGGUGACAUGUGGGGGCUGGGGAUGUAGCCAUGGUAAAGUGGUGUGAAAUUGUAAUGACAAAUGCAUGCAUCAUAAAGAUAGGUCGACUACUUAGUACACGCUGUCUAGAUUAUUGGGAUGUCAUGAAAAAGAGACAUUUAGGGGCUGGGGAUUUAGCUCAGUGGUAGAGCGCUUGCCUAGGAAGCACAAGGCCCUGGGUUCAGUCCCCAGCUCCGGGGGAAAAAAAAAAAAAACACACAAAAAAACAAGAAAACCAUCAAAAAAGAGACAUUUAUUAAUGCUCUAUUCCAAAGUUAUUCUGAUGCCCUCUUCUGAUACCCACAGGAAGUUACACAGUCUUGGUGUUAUGCCCUCCACCCACUUUCCGGUAAAAUAAAGCUUAAAAGUGAAACCUUGAAAAGACAUAAAACAUAACCCAACAGAGAGAGAUGCCGCUGCUCAGAUUGGCAGGUCCACGCUGGUAAAGUGGCCAUAUGGGAUCAUGCUAGGGAAGCAGACUCUGGCUUCCACAGAGGCAUACGCCGUGCACACAGGCACAGAAGCACUCGUGCACAGAGCCUUGUGGAGAAAACCUGGAUAACAAUUAUCAAAAUAACAAAUACGCUCUCAGCUGUUUCCCAAACAGUCCCAGUCACGGCAAUUUAGUCUAAAAGUAUUUUUAAAUAUAUUUCAUUUUAUGUGUCUAAGUGUUUGCCUGAAUGUGUGCAUGUAUAUAUACCAUCUGUAUGCACUGCCCAGAGGCCAGAAGAGAUUGCCAGAUCCUCUGGAACUGGAGCUAUUGGUUGACUGAGUCACCUGACGUGAGUGCUGGAGCACUGUGAGUGCUCUUAAUGGCUGAUCCAGCUCUCCUGUCCCUCUAAAAAUAUUUUUGUACAUACACAAAAUAAAUAUAAAAAUCUGAUAUCCAUAGCUAUUUGGGGUUGUCCCUGGCUACUCUCCCUGAAACAUGAGACUCUGCCUCAAAAAGAGGUAAAAGUGGGAGAGGCCAACCCAGUAUCGACUGACAGGUACUAAUCAAACUAUAAAUUAUCUAAAUAAUAAAUCAUACAGACAUGUAUUUCCUAAACCAGGGACUGAAGCAAGGGUGAUGGUGAAUGCUGCCACCAAUCCUAGCAUUGAGAAGGUAGAGGCAGGUAGGUGAAUUUCGGUGAGUUUAAAGUCAGCCUGGUCUAUAUAGUGAGCUACAGGCCAGCCAUAGUUACAUAGUGAGUCAUUGCUUCAAAAGAAAAGAGAACAAAGAGGGAAGAGGGAGGAAGAGAGGGGAAGAGAGGGGAAGAGAGAGAGGGGAGGGGUGAGGGGAGGAAUGAGUUGGAGAGGAGAAAAGUUUUGUGGAUCAGGAAAUUCUUGGAACAGUGUGCCUAUCUUACAGAGUCUCUGUUCAUUUACACACAUGCACCAAGACACUUUAAAUAAAAACACAGAAAUCCAUUGACAAUUACCUAUAUGAGGUAAGGUUUUAAGAAAUAAGAAUUUGGGCCAGUAGAGUCCCUAGCAUAGGAUAAUAAUGUCAGGCUACCUUUUAGUAACUUUAGCACAUGUGUACAGGUAUCUGUUGAAAACCAACUGGAAUUGUUAGCAUGUAUGCGUCUAUUUGUGCCAUGGCACAAUACGGGGUGCCAAAAGACAACUUGGGGGAGUGGGUGCUGGCCUCCAGAGUGAGUCCUGCAGACUGAACUCGGGUCACUGUGCUUGAUACUAAGUGUUUUUACCUGCUGAGUCAUCUCACUGGCUGCAAAAAUUAAAAUUUAAAAACAAAAUAAAACAGGCUGUUUGGCUUCAGUCAUAGGCCGUUGUUUUCUCUUUCCCUCUUACCUGGACAUAUUUUUGCUGCUUCUUUCAAUGUAGCUGUCCAACCAGCAGAUGACAGACAAUAUCUAUCUUUUAUGCCAUUAGUGCAUAAAACUGAGUAUGAGUGUGGGUCCUUGGAACCCGUGUGGGAGUCACGUUUGGAAGUACAUGCCCACUGUGCCAGGGAUGGAGAAGCAAAGGCAGGAGAAUCCCAGGGAAUGGCCUAUCAGCCAGUCUCUGUAACACGCCCUCAGCUGCCUGUACAAGAAAGCUGCACACACCCUUGUCCCCACCGGUGGCCUAUUACUAUUACUUUUCACAGAGAACCUCAUCUUUAAACACUCCUCACACUUGUAUGAGUGUAAAAAGCACAGCAGCUUAAAGAUGGGAUGUAGAACAAGUCAUGUUUCUCAAAGCUACCUCAGAAAACAAGCAAUGAAAGGAGAUCCAAGUUGCCCCAGCCUGUUCAUACUGUUCCUUCCAGGUAGGCUGUGUGCACACUUGGGGUCAGGAGGCCAUUAAUAAGGUGCAAUGUGUCCUCUUCACAUCGGCCUGGUUAGCACUUCUGUGCCUGCACCGCACAUGCUGGCCUUAUAAAUCACAGCUCACUGUCCUGCACAGUAACCCAACAACUCGCUAACAGCUGAGGGCAUCAUCACAAGUGGAUUGAACUACUAUUUGAGUAUAUGCUCCAAUAAUUAAAUUCCUUUAUAGUUUUCUACCUUUAAACCUAAAGGCAGGCAACACUAAAACUGAAUGCCAUCUCACAGCCCUCCUGACUGCCAUGAAAUAUCACUUACACUACAGAGCUCACACCCCAUUACUGAACACAAGCAGCCAGACCAUCUAUCACUCACAUUAAAACAAGCAGAAAGCAACGAUGAGGCGCUGGAAGCCAUCGCAUGGUUUAAAUGAUUUCUCUCCUUUCAAAUAUCAAGGGGUUCUCUUUCCCAGCACAUCUCACCACGGGGUUUGGCCUCUUAACAAAGAGAGCUUCCCAAGUUGAAAGAACAUUUAGCAGAUAGGACACACAGCAAAGCCCAGUUCAAAGCAAGAGACAUCUGCCCCUUGUGUUAAAAUACAAAACAGUAAAGGGUCUUUUAUAUUAAAAAUAAUAAAUACACAUAAAAGGAGAGUCUUGUCAAGAAGUCAAGCACCAGCCCUGACAGAGUCCUUGCCUUUGGUAAGUGCCCACGAUUUAAGGGAAUAGUCUAGAAUCUAUUUAUUUCCUAAUUCUUGAGAACAAAGAAAUCUAUCUUAAGCUGCUUGCUUGGAGCUCCCAAUCAAAGCACCAUGAAGCACAGAGCUGCUACACACGCACUAUCCAGGAUUAGCGCCUGAGGAAGCCCGGAGCCCCACACCACACGGCCACACUGUCUACCUAUUAGUGCCAAACAAGGAUCUUCAGCAUGGGUCAAGACCAUUACCCUGACUCUAAACUGAGAGGAGAAACAACCGGGAGAGAAGGCCGAGAAAUCGCUGCUAGCCCCAGAGUCCAUGUCAAGAGAAAACCGGCAGUGAGAAAUGGUUGGAACAUACAGUAAACAGUGACCAAGAAAAGGGGAUCCCGUGCCACAGCAGAGACCUGACAGCUACAUUUCAAACCAAGCUCUAAAAGAGAGGCUCCUGGUUUCUUUCUGCUUGUCCUGCAGAGGGCUGCACAAUGUCUACAGAGCUGGAGGCUUCUAACUCAGGGUCUUCCACGAUGCAGCACCGUCCUCCAGUCUGAACUCUAAGAGGGCCCUGUCCCCCAAGAAAGUCUAAGACCCAGAGGGUGACAGCAGCAGCCCUUUCAGUUCCAGUUAUUCCUAGGGCCAAAUAAAGUCUUGCCUUGGCAAAUUAAUAGUAUUUUGUAUGGUAUUGCCUAUAUUAGAAAAUAUGUCCUACUAUUAUAAUACUUGAUAAGUUUACAUAAAACAAAUAAAAUUUAUCCAACAGGGGCUGGAGAGAUGGCUCAGUGGUUAAGAGCACUGACUGCUCUUCCAAAGGUCCUGAGUUCAAAUCCCAGCAACCACAUGGUGGCUUACAACCAUCUGUAAUGAGAUCUGAUGCCCUCUUCUGGUGUGUCUAAACAGCUACAGUGUACUUAUAUAUAAUAAAUAAAUAAAUCUUUAAAAAAAAAA